GAUGAACGCUCGCUACAGGCUUAACACAUGCAAGUCGAGGGGAAACGGCAUUAAGUGCUUGCACUUUUUGGACGUCGACCGGCGCACGGGUGAGUAACGCGUAUCCAACCUUCCCAUGACUAAGGGAUAACCUGCCGAAAGGCAGACUAAUACCUUAUGGUCUUCACUGACGGCAUCAGAUGUGAAGUAAAGAUUUAUCGGUUAUGGAUGGGGAUGCGUCUGAUUAGCUUGUUGGCGGGGUAACGGCCCACCAAGGCAACGAUCAGUAGGGGUUCUGAGAGGAAGGUCCCCCACAUUGGAACUGAGACACGGUCCAAACUCCUACGGGAGGCAGCAGUGAGGAAUAUUGGUCAAUGGGCGAGAGCCUGAACCAGCCAAGUAGCGUGCAGGAGGACGGCCCUAUGGGUGGUAAACUGCUUUUGUAUGGGGAUAAAGUCAAUCACGUGUGAUUGUUUGCAGGUACCAUACGAAUAAGGACCGGCUAAUUCCGUG
rnacentral:rRNA from 1 species